UUACGGCCACAUCAUGAUGAAACAUUGGUUCCCGUACGAUCACCGAAGUUAAGCAAUGUCGAGUGUGGCCAGUAGCCAGACGGGUGACCGACUGGGAAUACUAGGUGUUGUAAG